UUAUUGUUAUAGUGCAUUUUUACAAGGCAAGGAUAAAAAAUUCCUUCGUUGCAUCUUGACUCUAUAGAAAUGGUUUAAAUACCAUGGAUUCAUGUUAGCUUCUUUCAAAAGUGACCAGAAUAAUGAAUAUAGGCCAUAUGGUUGAGGAGUUAUUCCUGAUUUGGGCAGGUUUUGCCUCCGGAUUCAGAGAUUUUAAAAAAAAAACGUUUUCCGUAUGCAGUACCGGCAGCCAUCCUAACAUCAAUAACUUGAAUUAAUCUAUUUAUCCACAUAUUCCCCGUUUGUUAAUAAUAAUUUGUCAUUUUUUAUAGAAUAUAGAAUAUUUUUUAUUUAACAACUGUCUCUGUGGUUUGGUAUUUAAAACAUUUUUGGCUGUAAGGUCGUACGGUAUUAAUAAAGUUCGGUUGAAUUAACCAAUGACGUUCUUGUUACCAGACUGAUAUCCUUCCGCUGUGAAAGUAGUUCUACUUUUAUAGUGGUGAUUAAUAAUUUAAUUGGGACUCGUAGUGGUUAACAUUGCCUUUAACGACUACUUCAACCUUUUAUGAAAUGACAUUGCUUUUUUAAUCGAGCCAACUUGCCAGGAAAGUUUUCUAUAGUGCUGUCGCACGGAUGGAUAUGAAGUCUGCAAGGAAUUGUACAAUCACACAGUGGACUUGGCAGUUACUCGGCUCGUGCAGAUCGUAAGAGAAAAGAAGAGCUGCCAACCAGGUUCAUCUAAGUCAUACAGCAGGGAGAGGUCCACUGCAUCUGCUGUUAUGCAAUGGGAUUCUGCUGCGACGGAGGCGCAAAUCAGAUCUGCAGCUGCAGAUCACUUGAAGCAUGCCCCGGGACGAGUUGGAGGAGGAGGUUACAAUUAGGUCUUGUUAGCAACUGAAUUUUUACUCUUUUCUAAUUUUAAAUACUUUUAUAUAUUUAUAGUUUUGUUAGUUUCGUUUUAUUCAAUGUUCACUGUUGUACAAUGUAUUUUAAAUGUGUUCGUGGCUUUUCAUCAAAGUUCUUGAAUAAAAUUGGAUAGUGUGAAUCUUAAA